UUUGACAGACAAUCGCCGGCGGCUGAAGAGCCGCGGGAGGAAAGUCCGGGCUCCACAGGGCAGGGUGCUGGAUAACGUCCAGUCAGCGCGAGCUGAAGGAUAGUGCCACAGAAAUGGACCGCCGAUGGACGACUUCUCCACUUGUGGAGAGGGGUCACAGGCAAGGAUGGAACCGAGGUGUAAGAGACCCCGAGGAACGCUGGUGACUUCGUUCCUGGUAAACCCCACUUGGAGCAAGACCUAAUGGGACGCAGCUUCUUCGCGAAGCGGCCUUUGCCCGAGGCGCGUCCGGGUUGGUUGCUGGAGCCGCCCAGUAAUGUGCGGCCUAGAUAGAUGAUUGUCGCUCAAGGCGGGAGGGUAGUUCCCGUUAUACCGCAACGAGUACAGAACCCGGCUUACGG
rnacentral:RNase_P_RNA from 1 species